GUGAGCCGUCACCCAGCCCCGCGCCCCAGCCCUGCCCCGCGAGGAAGGACCGGGAAAAUGAACAACGGCGGCAAAGCGGAGAAGGAGAACACCCCGAAUGAGGCCAACCUUCAGGAGGAAGAGGUUCGGACCCUAUUUGUCAGCGGUCUCCCUCUGGAUAUCAAACCUCGGGAGCUCUAUCUGCUUUUCAGACCAUUUAAGGGCUAUGAAGGCUCUCUUAUAAAGCUUACAUCUAAGCAGCCUGUAGGUUUUGUCAGCUUUGACAGUCGCUCUGAAGCAGAAGCUGCAAAGAAUGCUUUGAAUGGCAUCCGCUUUGAUCCUGAAAUUCCGCAAACACUACGACUAGAGUUUGCUAAGGCAAACACGAAGAUGGCCAAGAACAAACUAGUAGGGACUCCAAACCCCAGUACUCCUCUGCCCAACACUGUACCUCAGUUCAUUGCCAGAGAGCCAUAUGAGCUCACAGUGCCUGCACUUUACCCCAGUAGCCCUGAAGUGUGGGCCCCGUACCCUCUGUACCCAGCGGAGUUAGCGCCUGCUCUACCUCCUCCUGCUUUCACCUAUCCCGCUUCACUGCAUGCCCAGAUGCGCUGGCUCCCUCCCUCAGAGGCUACUUCUCAGGGCUGGAAGUCCCGUCAGUUCUGCUGAAUGCUCUGUCCCAGGUGUGUGAUGGCGGCUGCAAUCUGUCUUGUGGGUAUUAAUGCGAUCUUCACUGGUGGCGACUGUACUCCAACUGUUGUGCAAAACUGGAGCUUGCUGGCUUGAAAAAAACCUUGCCCAGUUUUGAUCCCUUCAAGACUUUGCCACAGCCUCUAUCACACAUCUGUUUUUCUCGAAGAAAAAUAUAUAUAAUAAAAAAUGUUUUACUCUUUUACACUGUAUAAUUCUAAGAAAUAGUGUUAUUUGUGAAUGCAUGGUGUGACAUAAUUUCUGUACAGUUUGGAGAUAUUUUCAAAUGAAACAUAAAAGAAGUCAACAAUAAAACCAAGAAAGUGAGUAUUUUUAUACCAAACAUUUUAAUUCUGACAGGAUGGAUUCUUACACUGGGUUGGAUCACAAAUUUUAUGCUAGACUUAUCGAAUGCUUGUAAUUAAAAAUAUCUAUUUUUUUCUUUAAAAUAAGCUGCAUGUUUGAGGCAUGUUUCGAAAUAGUUACCAACAUUUCCAGAAUUGUAUUGUGAAUGUAUAGAUACUGUCUGCCUGGCCGCAGUCCAGGGUUCAUUAGUAAUGUGGUGUUAGAACUGUUCUCUUCAGCCCUGGUCUGUGAUCCCAGUUCCCUUAUGAUAUCCCUACAAGACAAUCAAAGCUUCCAGGAGCUACUUUAAUGGCAUAUUCACAACUGGGCAAAGAAAACUAGGGGAGAAAUUCUUUAGACUAGAGUGUGCCCUUAGAAAGAUCUGGCAGCUCCAUCUGUGAUUGUAUGAACUGUGUGCUUCAAGUUUCAUGUUUAUCUUUUAUGAGAGCAUGCUCCCCUGUGUGACUAACUUGCUGUAUUACUCGCCUUCCAUAGCCAUGCCACUGCUCCUGUGGGACUCUAGUAGCCCUCACUGUGAAGGAGCACCUUGGCUUCGGGGCUGGCUUUGCCCAACUACAAUGGGCAAACCCACAUCUGCCAAGUGAUUUUACCCAACUUUGGCUGAACUAAGCUAGUGUUCAAACAGACCGCCUGUCACAUGUUCUGGAAUUCCAGGUUGCUUGUUGUGAGGUUCCCAACUACUCUGGCACAGGGAACCACGGUAACCAAUGGCCAAGAGAAAGACAGUUGGGCUUGUUUCAAAUGGUCAGAGCUAAACUGUCUUUGUGUUUUAAGGUGACACAUUCCAGAAUCUGUGACAGCUCAGCCUCUCCCCCUCCCCCUUGUAUAAAAGCCAUGUGUAAAACUAUAUUGACCUAAGAGUUCCUAACUGCUAAUAUAGCUAGAAAUGAUCACAAUCUUUCCUACUGAUCUGCUCACUGUGUUGAAAAAUUCAAUAUUUUAAUGAUUAUAUGCUUGAUUUGGGGGUUUUGUUUGUUGUAUUAUUUUUCAUUAGAAAUAAAAAUAACAUUUGUAAUGGUUAUCACAACAAAGCAAAGCCAGGAGUGAAGGGCUCUUUCUUACCAACAAGAAGAAAGAGGGCAGGCAGUAGCCUAGAGGAUCCUGAUAGAUCUGCUUGGGUGUUUAGGGAGGGUCUAUGCCCUCAGCACCACUUAGCUCUUGGUGAGACUCCUGUAUUUGAUUUUAAGGAAAACAGAGCCACUUCACUAUUAUGCUUUUUUAAACUGUUUGUUUAAAGGUACUUUUCUAUUGUUAUUUUUAAAAAAUAAAGUGCUUAUUCCAGCUAUCACA